UACGGGAGGCAGCAGUGGGGAAUAUUGGGCAAUGGGCGAAAGCCUGACCCAGCGACGCCGCGUGAGGGAAGAAGGUCUUCGGAUUGUAAACCUCUUUCAUCAGGGAAGAAGGAAAUGACGGUACCUGCNNAANAAGCCACGGCUAACUACGUGCCANCAGCCGCGGUAAU
rnacentral:rRNA from 1 species